rnacentral:misc_RNA from 1 species
GAUGAAGAACGUAGCGAAAUGCGAUAAGUAAUGUGAAUUGCAGAAUUCAGUGAAUCAUCGAAUCUUUGAACGCACAUUGCGCCCCUUGGUAUUCCGAGGGGCAUGCCCGUUCGAGCGUCAUUUAAACCAAUCUAGCUUGCUAGGUCUUGGGCUUUCGCCUCUGGGCGGGCCUCAAAAUCAGUGGCGGUGCUGCCGGGCUUUAAGCGUAGUAAUCUUUCUCGCUAUAGGGUCCUGGUAGAGGCUUGCCAACAACUAUAAAUCUUUCAAAGGUUGACCUCGGAUCAGGUAGGGAUACCCGCUGAACUUAAGCAUAUCAAUAAGCGGAGGA